rnacentral:rRNA from 1 species
UACGAAGGGGGCUAGCGUUGCUCGGAAUCACUGGGCGUAAAGGGCGCGUAGGCGGGCUCUUAAGUCAGGGGUGAAAGCCCUUGGCUCAACUGAGGAAGUGCACCCGAAACUGAGUGGCUAGAGUACGAAAGAGGGUCGCGGAAUUCCCGGUGUAGAGGUGAAAUUCGUAGAUAUCGUGAGGAACACCAGAGGCGAAGGCGGUUACCUGGACAGUUACUGACGCUCAGGCACGAAAGCAUGGGGAGCAAAAGGG